rnacentral:snRNA from 1 species
AAUCACUCUAGGCUCCAUGUUAAGAUCAAGUGUAAUAUCUGUUCUUAACAGUCUAAUAUCUGAUAUGUCCUCUAUCCAAGGACAACAUAUUAAAUGGGUUUUUGGAGCAGGGCGAUAGAAUAUUGGUUUCCUCUGUGCACUCCACGCAUCAAACUGGUAUUGCAAUACCUCCAGGAACAGUGCGCAGGAA